AGUACAAACGUAGAUAACGAACUCGUCACACAAUUUGAACUUGCUAUUAUGUGUAUAUAACAUGUUCAUAAUGUGAAAAACCGAGAGUAAACAGAACAGUAAAUAUAAAAGUAACUCACUUCUUGUUAGGCGACUGUUUCACGUGUGGUUCAAGCGUCAAAGCCUCAAAGGUUAUCACCGUGAGUCCAUGAACUUUCACUUGCAAAGUCGUUCCUGUUAUCCAAUCAAAGUAAAAGGGAGCAUGUCCUUUUUGACAUAGAAGUAGCCUAAUUUCGUUCAACAGUCGUAUUUCAAAGAAAGACAGAGCGCCUCAAACUCUCGCAGUGCUAGACUACUAGCGCGCCACAGCUGCUGUCUCGAUGGAAGAGCAGUAGCAGGUCCUCACAGCAACUUUUCCAAACCGCCAGUCACGUGGAGUAGGCGCUACGUAAACGCAAUCUGGAUUUUAUUUGACUCUCAAAAACACUCCUCCAAAAUAACAAAUCCAACCCUGGUAAGCCCCUGCAUUAAUCAGACCCUGAGUGUGCUGUGUCCAGUUUUCUGCUUGGUUGUGUGUGAGUCAUCCAGUUUCUUUAGAGACCUCUAACUCUUGUCCUGGCAGAGUUUCUCUUUUAUACACCAAAGACAGGGAGAACAGGUUUAAUAUGUGUCUCAGUAGUUUUAAAAAGGUUCUCCUCCUUUUCUUCUUUCAUGACUGGUCACGAGGAAAAUAAACUAGCAAAGGAAAUAAUUGAAGACUAUUUGGACAUUAUUGGGACACUUGGAUGGGGCUAUGACAAUGGUGAUCCAUGAUUUUUGAAUAAGAGAUUAUAAAUCCUCUCGCUAUCUAUCACCUAUUUUCUUGUUGCAGAAAGUACUGCACCAGCCAUUGCUUCCCUGCUUUUCAGAAAACACUACACUCUUUGUAGUCCUGUUGACUUGAUCAUAACAUCAACCACUGGCAUGAAUCCACCAUUCUGGAGAAUUAGGGGUAAGGUAAAUUUAAUUGCCCCAUGAAUAUGAGUCAUUUGGAGAUCAGUAUAAAAUUCCCUAAGCACAAGCACUGAUAGGGGCGGCAGGGUAGCCUAGUGGUUAGAGCGUUGGACUAGUAACCGGAAGGUUGCGAGUUCAAACCCCCGAGCUGACAAGGUACAAAUCUGUCGUUCUGCCCCUGAACAGGCAGUUAACCCACUGUUCCCAGGCCGUCAUUGAAAAUAAGAAUUUGUUCUUAACUGACUUGCCUGGUUAAAUAAAGGUAAAAUAAAAAAAUAAAAAUAAAAUAGUCCUAGAUAUACAGUAGAUUAUGUUGGCAGUCAUAGAAAAUAGAACUGUUUCUCUGACUUUCAAAACUUCCUCUGGACCAAUUUCCAAUAGUUUGUGAAGUUCUGUGUUGUGUUUUCAAUAUCUCGAACCAUGCAAGCAUCUAGUUCAACAUGUGGAGGGCGUUCAUUGAAAGAAUUUACAUUUUGACUGUGAUUCUUGGGACUCUUCUGGGACAUACUUUUUUCCCGUACCUCUGCAAUGUAAUUUACUG
rnacentral:lncRNA from 13 species